rnacentral:rRNA from 1 species
AUGAACGCUAGCUACAGGCUUAACACAUGCAAGUCGAGGGGCAGCAUGGUCUUAGCUUGCUAAGGCCGAUGGCGACCGGCGCACGGGUGAGUAACACGUAUCCAACCUGCCGUCUACUCUUGGACAGCCUUCUGAAAGGAAGAUUAAUACAAGAUGGCAUCAUGAGUCCGCAUGUUCACAUGAUUAAAGGUAUUCCGGUAGACGAUGGGGAUGCGUUCCAUUAGAUAGUAGGCGGGGUAACGGCCCACCUAGUCUUCGAUGGAUAGGGGUUCUGAGAGGAAGGUCCCCCACAUUGGAACUGAGACACGGUCCAAACUCCUACGGGAGGCAGCAGUGAGGAAUAUUGGUCAAUGGGCGAGAGCCUGAACCAGCCAAGUAGCGUGAAGGAUGACUGCCCUAUGGGUUGUAAACUUCUUUUAUAAAGGAAUAAAGUCGGGUAUGGAUACCCGUUUGCAUGUACUUUAUGAAUAAGGAUCGGCUAACUCCGUGCCAGCAGCCGCGGUAAUACGGAGGAUCCGAGCGUUAUCCGGAUUUAUUGGGUUUAAAGGGAGCGUAGAUGGAUGUUUAAGUCAGUUGUGAAAGUUUGCGGCUCAACCGUAAAAUUGCAGUUGAUACUGGAUAUCUUGAGUGCAGUUGAGGCAGGCGGAAUUCGUGGUGUAGCGGUGAAAUGCUUAGAUAUCACGAAGAACUCCGAUUGCGAAGGCAGCCUGCUAAGCUGCAACUGACAUUGAGGCUCGAAAGUGUGGGUAUCAAACAGGAUUAGAUACCCUGGUAGUCCACACGGUAAACGAUGAAUACUCGCUGUUUGCGAUAUACUGCAAGCGGCCAAGCGAAAGCGUUAAGUAUUCCACCUGGGGAGUACGCCGGCAACGGUGAAACUCAAAGGAAUUGACGGGGGCCCGCACAAGCGGAGGAACAUGUGGUUUAAUUCGAUGAUACGCGAGGAACCUUACCCGGGCUUAAAUUGCAGAUGAAUUACGGUGAAAGCCGUAAGCCGCAAGGCAUCUGUGAAGGUGCUGCAUGGUUGUCGUCAGCUCGUGCCGUGAGGUGUCGGCUUAAGUGCCAUAACGAGCGCAACCCUUGUUGUCAGUUACUAACAGGUUCCGCUGAGGACUCUGACAAGACUGCCAUCGUAAGAUGUGAGGAAGGUGGGGAUGACGUCAAAUCAGCACGGCCCUUACGUCCGGGGCUACACACGUGUUACAAUGGGGGGUACAGAGGGCCGCUACCACGCGAGUGGAUGCCAAUCCCCAAAACCUCUCUCAGUUCGGACUGGAGUCUGCAACCCGACUCCACGAAGCUGGAUUCGCUAGUAAUCGCGCAUCAGCCACGGCGCGGUGAAUACGUUCCCGGGCCUUGUACACACCGCCCGUCAAGCCAUGGGAGCCGGGGGUACCUGGAGUGCGUAACCGCGAGGAGCGCCCUAGGGUAAAACUGGUGACUGGGGCU